CGGGUGGAGUCUUGUCGGUUUAAUUGGUAUCACGCCGAAUCUUACCGAGACCGACAGCAAUAUGAAGGCCAGGCUGAAGACUUUGCCGGAUUAGCUGAGAGGUGGUGCAUGGCCGUCGUCAGUUCGUACUGUGAAGCAUCCUGUUAAGUCAGGCAACGAGCGAGACCCACGCCCACAGUUGCCAGCGUACUCUCCGGAGUGACGGGUACACUGUGGGACCGCCGCUGCUAAAGCGGAGGAAGGAAUGGGCAACGGUAGGUCAGUAUGCCCCGAAUAUCCCGGGCUACACGCGAGCUACAAUGGUUGGUACAAUGGGUAUCUACCCCGAAAGGGGACGGAAAUCUCCUAAAACCAAUCUUAGUUCGGAUUGAGGGCUGCAACUCGCCCUCAUGAAGCUGGAAUCCGUAGUAAUCGCGUUUCAACAGAACGCGGUGAAUACGUCCCUGCUCCUU
rnacentral:rRNA from 1 species